rnacentral:lncRNA from 1 species
CUGAGGAAGAAUGAUCCUGAGCUAAUAUCUGUGCCUAUGCUCCUCUAUUCUAUAUGUAGGAUGCCUGCCACAGCAUGGCUUGAUAAGCAGUGUGUAGGUCUGUGCCCGGGAUCUGAACCUGCGAAUCCCGGGCCAGCAAAGCAGAGCAAGCAAACUGAACCAGUACACCACCGGUCAGCCCCAGACUUUUACAUUUUUGCCCAUCAAAGGCAUGGAAUUUGAUACUCCAUUCUGGCCUUAACUUGCAUGUCCUUGCUCACUAAUAAUGUUUAAUAUCUCUUUAUAAGUUUACUAGCCAUGUGUUUCCUCUUCUGCGAAAUAUUUCUUCAUAUCUUUGCUUAUUUUUCUAUUGAAUUGUUUGUAUUGCUUUAGUAUUUAUUUGCAGGCAUUCUUUAAAUAUGCACACAAAAAAUGAGAGAAUAACUUGUUUUAGGGUGAAAUGGGCCCAAUAACUGGUAAACAUGGCAACAUUCAGCUUUGAGUUGAGAGGCAGCAUACUGUGGCGAUGAAGCACACAGACGUUUGCACCAGAUCGCCUGGGUCCAAAACUUGACCCUGAUAAACUUGACUUUUUUUCUUUUUAUUGUAUGGGGUCCUUUUAUUCUCGGCAGCAGAAAUGAUUCCUCCUUGCAGACCCGGAGCUUCGGGUCUGCAGAAAACUAUAUUCAGAUGCGAGCAUGACGAUGGUGCACAGCAAUCCCGGAGUAGUGGUUCUAGACAAACGGCACCACAUGGAGGGCUCAGGCAGAAAUGUAACGUGAGCACUGAGUCACAGACUGGCUCUUAGCUCUCUUCCAGAUUUAACAGCUUGUGAUUCUAUAAGGGAUGUUGAAUCACUUAUUGCAGACUGCACAAAGCUUGACAACGAGGCAUGACGGAACUUCAACUGCACUUUCGUUGAGUCUGAAAUCAUAUUCUGAAGCAACAGUCAUUGUCUAAGUAAAACGAACUGCCAAUUAUUUGAAUAAAGAGAAGUAGCAUUGUCCUGUGUUAGCUAUCUUUUUCCCCCCA